UACAGAGGGGGCAAGCGUUGUUCGGAAUUACUGGGCGUAAAGGGCGCGUAGGCGGCCUGUUAAGUCGAACGUGAAAUCCCCAGGCUCAACCUGGGAACUGCAUUUGAAACUCCCUUUCUUGAGUACCGGAGAGGAAAGUGGAAUUCCUGGUGUAGAGGUGAAAUUCGUAGAUAUCAGGAGGAACACCAGUGGCGAAGGCGGCUUUCUGGACGGUAACUGACGCUGAGACGCGAAAGCGUGGGGAGCAAACAGG
rnacentral:rRNA from 1 species